rnacentral:rRNA from 17 species
UAACUUUGAGCGGUGGAUCACUCGGCUCGUGCGUCGAUGAAGAGCGCAGCCAGCUGCGUGAAUUAAUGUGAAUUGCAGAACACAUUGAACA